rnacentral:rRNA from 1 species
CUACGUGCCAGCAGCCGCGGUAAUACGUAGGUGGCAAGCGUUGUCCGGAAUUAUUGGGCGUAAAGCGCGCGCAGGCGGAUCAGUUAGUCUGUCUUAAAAGUUCGGGGCUUAACCCCGUGAUGGGAUGGAAACUGCUGAUCUAGAGUAUCGGAGAGGAAAGUGGAAUUCCUAGUGUAGCGGUGAAAUGCGUAGAUAUUAGGAAGAACACCAGUGGCGAAGGCGACUUUCUGGACGAAAACUGACGCUGAGGCGCGAAAGCCAGGGGAGCGAACGGGAUUAGAUACCCCGGUAGUCCUGGCCGUAAACGAUGAAUGCUAGGUGUAGGGGGUAUCGACCCCUCCUGUGCCGGAGUUAACGCAAUAAGCAUUCCGCCUGGGGAGUACGGUCGCAAGACUGAAACUCAAAGGAAUUGACGGGGGCCCGCACAAGCGGUGGAGUAUGUGGUUUAAUUCGACGCAACGCGAAGAACCUUACCAGGGCUUGACAU